AUUUGUUCAGCAUAACUUAUUUUGAGUUUGACCCCGAUGCAGAAGCUGUGAGAAACAAGACCACUGGCUGGUGGAUGAUGUACACAAGAGAGUAAAAUCCUUACACAUGGAAAAAAAAUGCUAUUCACCAAUAGGCUUAAAUAAUUAUCAAUGUGGCAAUUAAGCAGUGAGCGCUUUAAUAAAAUACAAUGAUCCACUGCUUAUAAAAUGACUGACUGCAGAUAUUAAUGGUGGGUUCCAGUGUACACAGUUUUCUCCCACACGUACACACACCCACCUAUCUUGCAGUCUCAAUGCUAGACUGUCUCUUGUUUCUCUCUCACACCGCUUAGACAUUCUGACUCUAGUGUCUCCUUUCUUUUCUUUGUCACCGGUUUUCUCCUCGACACCCUUCAUUCAGUUUGAAUUUCCAGCAUUGUAAACGUACAUUCAGUUCCUUAUCCGUGACCCCCCUUCCCCCAUUCGGCGAUAAGAUUUUCAAGAGAACUAGCGGGCGAAACCAUAUCAAGUGAUCCAUUAAGAGAUGGGGAUUGCCUUAGUGGAAACAAAACUGUCAGCGGUUAAGAACGCUGUGACCUUUUGUGUGCUUUACCUGGAAAUGUUUCUGCUGUGGGGGAAGAUUUCAAGGAAUUCAGCUAGGUCCUGAGCUGACAAAUGGCAGCUCUUUCAUGCUGAAAUAUCGACUUGAUGCUAACAUGGAGAAUUACUUUUACAGGUUAAAAUGCGUGUGAGGCUCAAGUCUCCAUUGGCUCUAGUUGUCCUUCUGCAUCACUUUCAGUACAUUGUCUCCUCACAUCCUCCCUCUCAGCCCCACCUACAGGUGAUGAGCUCAUCUCUGUGGUUGCCUUAGUCACCUAACAACACGUCUGAGAAGCCGGCGGAAGCGCAGCGGAGAGGACCUGAACUGAGAAAACACUGGAACAAAGCACAGCGUAGAUGCUGGUGAUGUCAGUACUGUGCCAAGCUGAGCACGACAGGCCGUGAUGACAGCAACAACCUCCAUCCUCCAACCCGUGAUGACUCAUUCCAGUGUUUCACCAAGAGAAUGGACAGCCAUUAUAGGACUUACAGUUUGAUGUGGAAAUGUGAUGUGUGGUCAGGAAAUGCAUUCCUGAUUAGUACAAAAGAAAAAAAAAAAAAAAAAAAACUGUUAAAAACCCACGACAGGUCUGCUAGUCUCUAAAAACAGCAGCCAUAUAUUGUGGAAUAGAAGCGUGAGCUAAAGACAAACAAAAAUGUGUGACCAUAAAUUGAUGUUUGUGCACUCACAUGCAGUUUAUAUUAUUUCUAUCCAGAUGCAUAAACCUGGAGGGG